AGAGGACGCAGCGGGCUUCCUCACAUCCAGCAGAAGCAGAACUGGAUCUAACUGAAACUAAAGGUCCGGCUGCUAUGGCAGGUAUAAUUCGUUGGGCUGCGGCGAGAAUCGUUGAGCCAGGGGACAAGAACAAGAUCGGGAUCAAGAGGCAAUAACGAGACAUAGAUGAAAACGCUGGAUAACCACAGGCAAGCUGAUGAUAAUCUAAUACUGAACAGAGGUUCAGCUGCUCAAAGACGAAAGUUCCCAUCUCCUCAUCUCAUGCGUUUCCCGUCAAAGCUCAGUAAACAUAAACUGGUUGAACAGGCUAAAAGAAUGAGGACAGGUUCUGGAUGUACUGAAGUGUCGGCAUCAUAACCAGGACGUAAUCCAGUUGAGUGUGUGGUAAACCUGAGGUUUGGGAGCUGGUUCUCAUCUCAAGAAGAACCUGCAGGAGAGGCAAGGCUCACUCUAGACAAGCUGUCAGUCCAUCACAGGGACAAAUAGACAAUCAUUAAAUUACUCACAACCAGUGACGGCUGGUAUAAGUGGACUGGUAGGGCUGAGUACUCCCUGGUGUUCACAAUAAAAACGUUAAAAUAAACAAUAUUAUAUAAUUACAAUAUAACUAUAUAAUUGUAAACGAUUUA